rnacentral:rRNA from 1 species
AUGGUCGGCGGCGGCGCACAGUCGGCGAGCGCCGUGGAGGUCGAGGACAUCGAGCUCGGCGAGCGGCGGCGCGCGGACGAGUUCGCGGACGACGACGAGGAGGGCAGCCAGUACUUCACGGACGCGGAGGACCGGUCGUGGCCCUCGCACUCGCGCCACGAGUCCGCCGCCUUCGAGGACUGCAUCUCGCGGUGCGCCUCCACCCGCGCCAGCUCCUGCGGCGGCGCCGACAGCGACGCGGACAUCGAGGCCGGCGGCGGGCACUUCAGGAAGUCGUCGUGCGUGUCCGAGUGCUCGCUGGACGACGUCGACCUGGAGGCCGGGCUCGGCGGCGAGAGCGCCAAGGGCAGCCCCGACCCCGAGAAGGCCGAGAAGAACUGCCGCAUUUGCCACCUCGGCCUGGAGAGCGCGGCGGCCGAGUCCGGCGCCGGCAUCACGCUCGGCUGCUCCUGCAAGGGCGACCUCUCCUACUCCCACAAGCAGUGCGCCGAGACCUGGUUCAAGAUCAGAGGCAACAAGACCUGUGAGAUCUGCAGCUCAACCGCAUGCAACGUGGUUGUGUUAGGCGAUCCGGAGUUCGUGGAGCAGUCGAACGAAUCGAACACCACAGCAGCCGGGCAUGCAUUUCCAAACGAAACCAGGAGAUUUUGGCAAGGGCAUCGGUUCCUCAACUUCCUUCUGGCAUGCAUGGUUUUCGCCUUCGUCAUCUCAUGGCUCUUCCACUUCAACGUCCCGGGGUGA